GGAUGGAUGGCCGAGCGGUUGAAGGCGCACGCCUGGAAAGUGUGUAGGGGUCUAAAGCCUCUCGCGAGUUCGAAUCUCGCUCCAUCCG
rnacentral:tRNA from 1 species